rnacentral:rRNA from 1 species
GACGAACGCUGGCGGCGUGCUUAACACAUGCAAGUCGAACGGUGAUGAUGGGGCUUGCUCUGUCGGAUCAGUGGCGAACGGGUGAGUAACACGUGAGUAACCUGCCCCAGACUCUGGGAUAACCCCGGGAAACCGGAGCUAAUACCGGAUAUGACUCUUGGCCGCAUGGCUGGGGGUGGAAAGUUUUUCGGUCUGGGAUGGGCUCGCGGCCUAUCAGCUUGUUGGUGGGGUAGUGGCUCACCAAGGCGACGACGGGUAGCCGGCCUGCGAGGGCGACCGGCCACACUGGGACUGAGACACGGCCCAGACUCCUACGGGAGGCAGCAGUGGGGAAUAUUGCACAAUGGGCGAAAGCCUGAUGCAGCGACGCCGCGUGAGGGAUGACGGCCUUCGGGUUGUAAACCUCUUUCAGCAGGGAAGAAGCGUGAGUGACGGUACCUGCAGAAGAAGCACCGGCUAACUACGUGCCAGCAGCCGCCGUAAAAC